rnacentral:rRNA from 1 species
AUUGAACGCUGGCGGCAUGCCUUACACAUGCAAGUCGAACGGCAGCACGGGAGCAAUCCUGGUGGCGAGUGGCGAACGGGUGAGUAAUAUAUCGGAACGUGCCCAGUCGUGGGGAUAACGUAGCGAAAGCUACGCUAAUACCGCAUACGAUCUACGGAUGAAAGCGGGGGAUCGCAAGACCUCGCGCGAUUGGAGCGGCCGAUAUCAGAUUAGGUAGUUGGUGAGGUAAAGGCUCACCAAGCCGACGAUCUGUAGCUGGUCUGAGAGGACGACCAGCCACACUGGGACUGAGACACGGCCCAGACUCCUACGGGAGGCAGCAGUGGGGAAUAUUGGACAAUGGGCGAAAGCCUGAUCCAGCAAUGCCGCGUGAGUGAUGAAGGCCUUAGGGUUGUAAAGCUCUUUUACCCGAGAUGAUAAUGACAGUAUCGGGAGAAUAAGCUCCGGCUAACUCCGUGCCAGCAGCCGCGGUAAG